CUACAAAACUAUUUGACUGAAGUUUUGGAAACAUUUAACUAAAUUUUGAAGGAUUGACUCGCAAACUGUGAUUCAGUUUCUGGAUAAGUUGUGACUCUGUUAGUGCCAUUUCUUUCAUUGUUUAUAUAUCUUGCUUUUAAUUCCUUAGGGCCUUUUUAUAUGAUCCCGCCUAGACGGUACAGAAUGUUUUCAUCCCACCAAGACAGGAUACUCGCCUAGUGUUUAUAUGGACAAAAUACAUUGCCAGGAUGAAACCAUUCGGUGCUUGACGUCAUAUUUUUGUUGCAAUAAAGG